UACGUAGGGGGCAAGCGUUGUCCGGAAUCAUUGGGCGUAAAGGGUGCGUAGGCGGCGCGGUAAGUCGGGUGUGAAAUCUCGGAGCUUAACUCCGAAACUGCAUUCGAUACUGCCGUGCUUGAGGACUGGAGAGGAGACUGGAAUUUACGGUGUAGCGGUGAAAUGCGUAGAUAUCGUAAGGAAGACCAGUGGCGAAGGCGGGUCUCUGGACAGUUCCUGACGCUGAGGCACGAAGGUCAGGGGAGCAAGCGGG
rnacentral:rRNA from 1 species